GCUGUAGCUUAGUGGUAGAACAUCUGCUUUGCAUGCAGAAGGUCACAAGUUUAACCCCCAACAUCUCCA